GGAUCGAUGAUGAGUCAAAAAAAAAAAAAAAACAUUCCUUGGAAAAGCUGAACAAAAUGAGUGAGAACUCAUACCGUCGCUGUCAUCGGAACUGAGGUCC
rnacentral:snoRNA from 1 species